rnacentral:rRNA from 1 species
CUAGGGGUGAAAGGCCAAUCAAACUCGGAAAUAGCUGGUUCUCCGCGAAAUCUAUUUAGGUAGAGCGUCGGAUGAAUACUCUCGGGGGUAGAGCACUGGAUGGGCUAUGGGGGCUUACCGCCUUACUGAUCCUAACCAAACUCCGAAUACCGAGAAGUACUAUCCGGCAGACACACAGUGGGUGCUAACGUCCAUUGUGGAGAGGGAAACAACCCUGACCGCCAGUUAAGGUCCCUAAGUUAUGGCUAAGUGGGAAAGGAUGUAGGACUCCCAAAACAACCAGGAUGUUGGCUUAGAAGCAGCCAUCAUUUAAAGAAAGCGUAAUAGCUCACUGGUCGAGUCGGCCUGCGCGGAAGAUGUAACGGGGCUAAACCAUGCACCGAAGCUGCGGCAGCGACACUAUGUGUUGUUGGGUAGGGGAGCG